UACGGGGGGGGCAAGCGUUGUUCGGAAUUACUGGGCGUAAAGGGCGCGUAGGCGGCCAUCUAAGUCAGACGUGAAAUCCCACGGCUCAACCGAGGAACUGCGUCUGAUACUGGAAGGCUUGAAUCCGGGAGAGGGAUGUGGAAUUCCAGGUGUAGCGGUGAAAUGCGUAGAUAUCUGGAGGAACACCGGUGGCGAAGGCGGCAUCCUGGACCGGUAUUGACGCUGAGGCGUGAAAGCUAGGGGAGCAAACGGG
rnacentral:rRNA from 1 species